rnacentral:lncRNA from 1 species
AGAACAAAUGAGAGAGCGAGAGAGGGUGAUCAUAGAAGAGAAAAGCUGGUGAUGCCAGAUGAUCAAGGAGGACUUCAGAGAGAAAAAUCCGCUUUCAUUACUGGAAAGUUCUCACGGUGAGUCCACCUGCUCAUGGCUCCUCCCAUUUCUGGAGCUCUGCCACAAGACUGCUCCUUCUGCUCACCACAGACAUUCAGACAUUCAGACAUUCAGACACAGAGAUUCCACCCUCUCAAAUCAGGUUGCCUCGAUUUUAAUUUCUAGUCUACAGUUGAAGUCCUGUUGUUAGCAGAGUGAAUGAAGGAAAUGGAAAACAACAUGCAUUCCUUUGAC